rnacentral:rRNA from 1 species
GAUGAACGCUGGCGGCGUGCCUAAUACAUGCAAGUCGAGCGAACGGACGAGAAGCUUGCUUCUCUGAUGUUAGCGGCGGACGGGUGAGUAACACGUGGAUAACCUACCUAUAAGACUGGGAUAACUUCGGGAAACCGUAGCUAAUACCGGAUAAUAUUUUGAACCGCAUGGUUCAAAAGUGAAAGACGGUCUUGCUGUCACUUAUAGAUGGAUCCGCGCUGCAUUAGCUAGUUGGUAAGGUAACGGCUUACCAAGGCAACGAUGCAUAGCCGACCUGAGAGGGUGAUCGGCCACACUGGAACUGAGACACGGUCCCGACUCCUACGGGAGGCAGCAGUAGGGAAUCUUCCGCAAUGGGCGAAAGCCUGACGGAGCAACGCCGCGUGAGUGAUGAAGGUCUCCGGAUCGUAAAACUCUGUUAUUAGGGAAGAACAUAUGUGUAAGUAACUGUGCACAUCUUGACGGUACCUAAUCAGGAAGCCACGGCUAACUACGUG